UACGUAGGGGGCAAGCGUUGUCCGGAAUCAUUGGGCGUAAAGAGCGCGUAGGCGGCCCUGUAAGUCCGCUGUGAAAGUCAAGGGCUCAACCCUUGAAUGCCGGUGGAUACUGCAGGGCUAGAGUCCGGAAGAGGCGAGUGGAAUUCCUGGUGUAGCGGUGAAAUGCGUUGAUAUCGGGAGGAACACCCAUGGCGAAGGCAGCAAACUGGCCGGCAUCUGACGCUGAGGCGCGAAAGCGUGGGUAGCAAACAGG
rnacentral:rRNA from 1 species